GCUUUCUUUUUCAGGUCACAGGAAUUCAACAGAUAGGGAAACAGAUUGUGGAGGAAAGAUUGGAAACUUGUGUCACAGGUCACCCAGCUUUCUGGAAAUCUGCAAAAGACCAGCAGUGGGACACCUUAACAGAGGCAAAAAAUGUUUAACAGAGGCAACAGCUGGAGCAGGCUGAGACUGGAUCAGACUGCAAGGGAAAGCCUGGAGAGGAUUUCUAUGCUUUAAAAAGAGAAACAGGGGAAGACUGAAUUUCCUAAGGUCACCGAGGAAACGCAUGGCAACGCUAGGAAAAGAACUCAGCACUCGAGCAGCAGAGAUACCAUCUUCACAGCCAAAACCAGAUGGUUUUUCUCUGCAGUGUGACAUAACAGCACAAACAGAAUUAGUCUGUGGAUUUAGUGACAAUGAAGUUAAAUAAGGUUAA